CCGAUUUUUUUAAUUCCCCCCAUAGGGAGGAAAGGAACUUACCAAGGUUUCCCCUGGUACCGCCAAUUGAACCGGGAGGGGUUCAAUUUUGAAUCCUGUAUCUUCGGCUGCUCGAGUUGUAAUCUAGAGAAGUGUUUUCCGUGCCGGCCCAUGUACAAGUCCCUUGGAACAGGGCGUCAUAGAGGGUGAGAAUCCCGUCCUUGACAUGGACCCCCGGUGCUCUGUGAUACACUUUCAACGAGUCGAGUUGUUUGGGAAUGCAGCUCAAAAUGGGUGGUGAAUUCCAUCUAAAGCUAAAUAUUGGCGAGAGACCGAUAGCGAACAAGUACCGUGAGGGAAAGAUGAAAAGCACUUUGGAAAGAGAGUUAAACAGUACGUGAAAUUGUUGAAAGGGAAACGAUUGAAGUCAGUCAUGCUCUUUGGUAUUUAUAUCAUUGAGUGGGGUCAACAUCAGUUUUGAGCGAUGGAUAAAGGCACUAGGAAGGUAGCACUCUCGGGUGAACUUAUAGCCUAGCGUCAUAUACAUUGUUUGGGACUGAGGAACGCAGCAUGCUUUAUGGCCGGGAUUCGUCCACGUACAUGCUUAGUAUGUUCAUAAUCUCAGGGCCGU
rnacentral:rRNA from 1 species